rnacentral:rRNA from 1 species
AUGAACGCUGGCGGCGUGCCUAAUACAUGCAAGUCGAACGCUUUGUGGUUCAACUGAUUUGAAGAGCUUGCUCAGAUAUGACGAUGGACAUUGCAAAGAGUGGCGAACGGGUGAGUAACACGUGGGAAACCUACCUCUUAGCAGGGGAUAACAUUUGGAAACAGAUGCUAAUACCGUAUAACAAUGACAACCGCAUGGUUGUUAUUUAAAAGAUGGUUCUGCUAUCACUAAGAGAUGGUCCCGCGGUGCAUUAGCUAGUUGGUAAGGUAAUGGCUUACCAAGGCGAUGAUGCAUAGCCGAGUUGAGAGACUGAUCGGCCACAAUGGGACUGAGACACGGCCCAUACUCCUACGGGAGGCAGCAGUAGGGAAUCUUCCACAAUGGGCGAAAGCCUGAUGGAGCAACGCCGCGUGUGUGAUGAAGGGUUUCGGCUCGUAAAACACUGUUGUAAGAGAAGAAUGACAUUGAGAGUAACUGUUCAAUGUGUGACGGUAUCUUACCAGAAAGGAACGGCUAAAUACGUGCCAGCAGCCGCGGUAAUACGUAUGUUCCAAGCGUUAUCCGGAUUUAUUGGGCGUAAAGCGAGCGCAGACGGUUAUUUAAGUCUGAAGUGAAAGCCCUCAGCUCAACUGAGGAAUUGCUUUGGAAACUGGAUGACUUGAGUGCAGUAGAGGAAAGUGGAACUCCAUGUGUAGCGGUGAAAUGCGUAGAUAUGUGGAAGAACACCAGUGGCGAAGGCGGCUUUCUGGACUGUAACUGACGUUGAGGCUCGAAAGUGUGGGUAGCAAACAGGAUUAGAUACCCUGGUAGUCCACACCGUAAACGAUGAGUGCUAGGUGUUUGAGGGUUUCCGCCCUUAAGUGCCGCAGCUAACGCAUUAAGCACUCCGCCUGGGGAGUACGACCGCAAGGUUGAAACUCAAAGGAAUUGACGGGGACCCGCACAAGCGGUGGAGCAUGUGGUUUAAUUCGAAGCAACGCGAAGAACCUUACCAGGUCUUGACAUCCCUUGACAACUCCAGAGAUGGAGCGUUCCCUUCGGGGACAAGGUGACAGGUGGUGCAUGGUUGUCGUCAGCUCGUGUCGUGAGAUGUUGGGUUAAGUCCCGCAACGAGCGCAACCCUUAUUACUAGUUGCCAGCAUUUAGUUGGGCACUCUAGUGAGACUGCCGGUGACAAACCGGAGGAAGGUGGGGAUGACGUCAAAUCAUCAUGCCCCUUAUGACCUGGGCUACACACGUGCUACAAUGGCGUAUACAACGAGUUGCCAACCCGCGAGGGUGAGCUAAUCUCUUAAAGUACGUCUCAGUUCGGAUUGUAGGCUGCAACUCGCCUACAUGAAGUCGGAAUCGCUAGUAAUCGCGGAUCAGCACGCCGCGGUGAAUACGUUCCCGGGUCUUGUACUCACCGC